GGAGAUGUGGCUCAAUGGUUGAGUGCUUGCCUAGCAUGUAUGAGGCCAUGGGUUUAAUCUCCAGCACCACCA
rnacentral:tRNA from 1 species